AGAGUUUGAUCAUGGCUCAGAUUGAACGCUGGCGGCAGGCCUAACACAUGCAAGUCGGACGGUAGCACAGAGGAGCUUGCUCCUUGGGUGACGAGUGGCGGACGGGUGAGUAAUGUCUGGGGAUCUGCCCGAUAGAGGGGGAUAACCACUGGAAACGGUGGCUAAUACCGCAUAACGUCGCAAAGACCAAAGAGGGGGACCUUCGGGCCUCUCACUAUCGGAUGAACCCAGAUGGGAUUAGCUAGUAGGCGGGGUAAUGGCCCACCUAGGCGACGAUCCCUAGCUGGUCUGAGAGGAUGACCAGCCACACUGGAACUGAGACACGGUCCAGACUCCUACGGGAGGCAGCAGUGGGGAAUAUUGCACAAUGGGCGCAAGCCUGAUGCAGCCAUGCCGCGUGUAUGAAGAAGGCCUUCGGGUUGUAAAGUACUUUCAGCGGGGAGGAAGGCGAUGGGGGUUAAUAACCUUAUCGAUUGACGUUACCCGCAGAAGAAGCACCGGCUAACUCCGUGCCAGCAGCCGCGGUAAUACGGAGGGUGCAAGCGUUAAUCGGAAUUACUGGGCGUAAAGCGCACGCAGGCGGUCUGUUAAGUCAGAUGUGAAAUCCCCGGGCUUAACCUGGGAACUGCAUUUGAAACUGGCAGGCUUGAGUCUUGUAGAGGGGGGUAGAAUUCCAGGUGUAGCGGUGAAAUGCGUAGAGAUCUGGAGGAAUACCGGUGGCGAAGGCGGCCCCCUGGACAAAGACUGACGCUCAGGUGCGAAAGCGUGGGGAGCAAACAGGAUUAGAUACCCUGGUAGUCCACGCCGUAAACGAUGUCGACUUGGAGGUUGUUCCCUUGAGGAGUGGCUUCCGGAGCUAACGCGUUAAGUCGACCGCCUGGGGAGUACGGCCGCAAGGUUAAAACUCAAAUGAAUUGACGGGGGCCCGCACAAGCGGUGGAGCAUGUGGUUUAAUUCGAUGCAACGCGAAGAACCUUACCUACUCUUGACAUCCACGGAAUUUGGCAGAGAUGCCUUAGUGCCUUCGGGAACCGUGAGACAGGUGCUGCAUGGCUGUCGUCAGCUCGUGUUGUGAAAUGUUGGGUUAAGUCCCGCAACGAGCGCAACCCUUAUCCUUUGUUGCCAGCGAUUCGGUCGGGAACUCAAAGGAGACUGCCGGUGAUAAACCGGAGGAAGGUGGGGGAUGACGUCAAGUCAUCAUGGCCCUUACGAGUAGGGCUACACACGUGCUACAAUGGCGCAUACAAAGAGAAGCGACCUCGCGAGAGCAAGCGGACCUCACAAAGUGCGUCGUAGUCCGGAUCGGAGUCUGCAACUCGACUCCGUGAAGUCGGAAUCGCUAGUAAUCGUGGAUCAGAAUGCCACGGUGAAUACGUUCCCGGGCCUUGUACACACCGCCCGUCACACCAUGGGAGUGGGUUGCAAAAGAAGUAGGUAGCUUAACCUUCGGGAGGGCGCUUACCACUUUGUGAUUCAUGACUGGGGUGAAGUCGUAACAAGGUAACCGUAGGGGAACCUGCGGUUGGAUCACCU
rnacentral:rRNA from 1 species